GCUGGGCAAGGUGGCGCAUGCCUGUAAUCUCAGCAGCUCAGGAGGAUGAGGCAGGAGGAUCGUGAGUUCAAAACCAGCCUCAGCAACAGUGAGGUGCUAAGCAACUCAGUGAGACCCUGUCUCUA
rnacentral:sRNA from 1 species